GAGGCUCAGAUCUGGGUUGCUGAUAAACUAGGCAUCUAGUCCAGGGGCUGCUGGAGGCAGGAGGAGCCAAGACCUUCUCCUUGAGCUAAGAUGAACUUAGGAGGCCAGGAACAAGGUCAGGAGGGCAGGGAGGAGCUCAGAAGGCCGAGGACAGGCUUGGGAGGCUGAGGACUCGCUCAGCCAGUGCGUGUGGUGGAAGAGACGCACAGCGCAGCCCCUCGUCUGGUUCUCGGAGAGCUGGAUGGGGCUUUCGCUCAGCAGCACGGGCACAGCUCCACUUCCAAAAUGUGAGGGGCAGGGGCCCAGGUGUUGGAUGCCUUCAGAGCCCUGGAGCCCCGGGAGGGGCUCUCAAGCCCACCUGCCUGAGUCGGGCAUCAGGCAGGGAGAGUGCUGGGGCCUCCGCCCCUGCUGGCCCAGUGAUGAAAACCAAGCAUGAAGGGUGGGUGUUCAUUGGUUACUUGCUGUGUGUGGCCUCUAAACAUGCACCAUUCCCUUUAAUUUUCACAGGCUUCAUGGGAUGGUAUUAGUGUUGCCACCGGACAGGCUGGCCCUGUGGAAGGAACAUGGGCGUGGGCAGUUCCUGGCCUCUGGUCUUGACUCCUGACUCGGUUCCACCCCCUUGGGAUGCUUGGCCCAAUUCGUGGCUCAGAGCCCGGCUCUAUCUAUUUAAUGGGAGCUGCACUUGAGGAGGGCCAGGGAAUCAUCUGGGCCAGCAGAGGCAGAGGCCCCCGCACGCUCCCUGCCCGAUGCCCGACUCAGGCAGGUGGUGAAGGCAUCCGAGACCUGAGCCCCUGCCCCUCACACUUUGAAAGUGGAGCUGCGCCCCUGUUGCUGAGCAGAAGCCCCACGCAUGCAGGGGUGGGUUGGGAGGGGCCCCUGCCAGAGCCUCUCUCUACGCCGGCCUGGCUGUGGCAUGUUCUCUCCAGAUUUCCUCCAGGAGACGGCCCUGGUCCCUUGCCACAAUAGAAAUUAUGCCCCAUAAUUUUCUGUUGUAAAACUUGAUCUUUUUCUGCAAGCAAGUCAUUAAAA
rnacentral:lncRNA from 1 species